AACCGAGUUAUACUAGAACCUCUCGGGGAACGAUAACUGGCGUCGAGCGGCGGACGGGUGAGUAAUGCCUAGGAAAUUGCCCUGAUGUGGGGGAUAACCAUUGGAAACGAUGGCUAAUACCGCAUGAUGCCUACGGGCCAAAGAGGGGGACCUUCGGGCCUCUCGCGUCAGGAUAUGCCUAGGUGGGAUUAGCUAGUUGGUGAGGUAAGGGCUCACCAAGGCGACGAUCCCUAGCUGGUCUGAGAGGAUGAUCAGCCACACUGGAACUGAGACACGGUCCAGACUCCUACGGGAGGCAGCAGUGGGGAAUAUUGCACAAUGGGCGCAAGCCUGAUGCAGCCAUGCCGCGUGUGUGAAGAAGGCCUUCGGGUUGUAAAGCACUUUCAGUCGUGAGGAAGGUAGUGUAGUUAAUAGCUGCAUUAUUUGACGUUAGCGACAGAAGAAGCACCGGCUAACUCCGUGCCAGCAGCCGCGGUAAUACGGAGGGUGCGAGCGUUAAUCGGAAUUACUGGGCGUAAAGCGCAUGCAGGUGGUUUGUUAAGUCAGAUGUGAAAGCCCGGGGCUCAACCUCGGAAUAGCAUUUGAAACUGGCAGACUAGAGUACUGUAGAGGGGGGUAGAAUUUCAGGUGUAGCGGUGAAAUGCGUAGAGAUCUGAAGGAAUACCGGUGGCGAAGGCGGCCCCCUGGACAGAUACUGACACUCAGAUGCGAAAGCGUGGGGAGCAAACAGGAUUAGAUACCCUGGUAGUCCACGCCGUAAACGAUGUCUACUUGGAGGUUGUGGCCUUGAGCCGUGGCUUUCGGAGCUAACGCGUUAAGUAGACCGCCUGGGGAGUACGGUCGCAGAUUAAACUCAAUGAAUUGACGGGGCCCGCACAGCGGUGGAGCAUGUGGUUUAUUCGAUGCACGCGAGACUUACUACUCUGACAUCAGAGACUUCAGAGAUGAUG
rnacentral:rRNA from 1 species